rnacentral:rRNA from 1 species
AUUGAACGCUGGCGGCAGGCCUAACACAUGCAAGUCGAGCGGAUGAAGGGAGCUUGCUCCUGGAUUCAGCGGCGGACGGGUGAGUAAUGCCUAGGAAUCUGCCUGGUAGUGGGGGAUAACGUCCGGAAACGGGCGCUAAUACCGCAUACGUCCUGAGGGAGAAAGUGGGGGAUCUUCGGACCUCACGCUAUCAGAUGAGCCUAGGUCGGAUUAGCUAGUUGGUGGGGUAACGGCCUACCAAGGCGACGAUCCGUAACUGGUCUGCGAGGAUGAUCGGUCACACUGGAACUGAGACACGGUCCAGACUCCUACGGGAGGCAGCAGUGGGGAAUAUUCGACAAUGGGCGAAAGCCUGAUCCAGCCAUGCCGCGUGUGUGAAGAAGGUCUUCGGAUUGUAAAGCACUUUAAGUUGGGAGGAAGGGCAGUAAGUUAAUACCUUGCUGUUUUGACGUUACCAACAGAAUAAGCACCGGCUAACUUCGUG